rnacentral:tRNA from 10 species
GUGACUUGCUCCUCCUUGCCUUCCUCCAUGAUUGUGAGGCCUCCCCAGCCAUAUGGAAAUGUAAGUCCAACAAACCUCUUUCUUUUGUAAGUUGUCCAGUCUUGGGUAUGUCUUUAUCAGCAGCAUGAAAAUGAACUAAUACAGUGUCUAUGUGACAAUAUACCCAAAUUAUUAACAUUUCAAUAUAUAAUUCAUGUUAAGUUAUUGCCUAGCUAAUUUACAAUCUUUUUUUCUACUAAAUGUAUAUAUUUUAUACUUACAGCACACUUUGGCUUGGACUAGCAACAUUUCAAUUGCUCAGUACCCUCGAAUAACUAGUGGCUACUAGUUCCACAGUUAGAGAACACAGGUGGAAAACACACAGAAAUAAAAAACUUUUUAAGACAAAGAUAAUGCUUCUUUAGGUAAAAGUAUGUGAAUACCAUUACUUUAGCCACUCUCUUAAUAAGUACUUUUAUUACAGUACAGUGGAUAAAUAAGUACAGUUAUUUUAUCCACUCCCUUAAUAAGUAAUAUAAAGUCUUUACCAUGUUUAAAGCCCAGUAUCAAGGGAACACUCAGAUGAAUGGGAAAGGAUCCUAUUCACCCGAUGAUUAUGAAUUAGUAGAAGACAUCUUUCAUAUAUUCAUCUACCCAUCCACCCAUCCACCCAUUCAUCCAUCACUCAUUCAAUUUACACAUAUGGGACAUAUGCUGAGCACACUAUGUUAGCCAUCAGGGCUAACACAGCAUAUAAAUAAAUAAUUACCAUAUGCUGUAUUAAACACUAAGACAGAGACUUGUGAAAACAGCUAACUCUCAAUGAAGAGGGGAGAACUGACACUUGAAGUGAACUUCAAAAGGAAUAAUAUACUAGUACUGGCGAAGGCAUGGAUCACAACAUAACAUGAUAUGUCUGAGACUACUCAAGUUUUAUGUGGUUAGAUAGUAGAGUACAAAGGGAAGAGGCAGAAAAUGAAGCUAAAAAUACAGAUGGAGAAUAAAUUAUAAAAAGCCUUUAGACAUUGCUCAGGACUUUUGACUUUAUCUUAUGGAUUUGGAGAAUGGUAAAAGGUCCAUCACCUUAUUGGUUUAGAAAUUUAACUUUGGCAACUCUGUGGAAGAUGGAAUGUGGUGAGAUUCAACUGGGAAAAGGAGAAUUGUUAGAAUAAUUGUGAGUCUUAAAAAAUAUUAAAGUCCUCUCAUAAUUCAGGAACUUUUAAAUUGGAAAAAUGAAAAUAAAUAAUUCAAGUUAUCGUGCCUUGAAAUGUAUUAUUUUAUUUAUUCAGUUAAUAUUUAUUGCAUACCUACAGUAUAUAAGGGACUUCUCUAGAUUUAGAAAUAUAGUAAUAAGACAGACACAUCUUAUAUUUUAGAGGGAAAAACUUGGAUUAAAUCACUAUACAAUUAAAAAAUAAGUUCUAUGAAACACUUAAAUAGGGUAAUAUAUUGAGAGAGAGAAUAGAAUGGUAGCACCACAGUUAGGCUGAUCAGUGAACGAUGGUUGAUGUUUGAACUUAGACUUUAUUAAUGAGGAGGCAGUCCAGGAUAAAAUGUGUCAGAGAAAGGAUGGCAAUGGUCCAGAGUGAAUGAGUCCCAAAGUCCAAAGAACAGAAUUAUGGCCUGUGUGUUUGGAUCAAAAUGGGCUUGUGGGAAUGUGAAACCAGAGAUAUAGUUAAAGAGGUGGGCAGAAGUCAGAGAUUGAUGGCGUAGUAGGUAAGGUGAAGAUUUUGCAUCUUAUUUAAAGCAAUUUGAACCUAUUGGAGAAUCACUAUUGAAGGAGUGACCCCAUUCCACUUAGUUUUUAUAUAGUCUCCUCUUGUUACUGCAUAAAUAAUGGAUUGUAGGUAGACAACGGUGCAAUGGCAAUGGCAGUGAUUUGUUACAGGAAAGGAAGAGAAGUGAAUUAAUUCAGGCUACAUUAUAGAGCUGGAUGAAUAGGGCUUUCAUGUAGUGGAAAUUGAGGGUGUGGUAUAAAUCAAAGAAAAGAAUCAAGAAAGACUCCUGGAAUUUUCUCCAAAGCACCAGGUGCAAGGAGUUGUCAUUUGCUGAUACAGGGAAGACUGGAGGUGGAAUGGAUGAAUUGGGGGUUCCCUGGAAAUCAGGAGUUAGGGAGAGCCUCCAGACUUCUUGUCUGAAUGACUUUGAAAGGAAUUACAUGACUAGGAGGAGGUUUUAUAGUGAAAAAAAUUGUCAUUAAAAAUCUAUCUAUGUAUCUAUCUAUCUUUCUAUCUAUAUGGAGAGAGAGAAAAUGUGACAUGAGACAGUUCAUAGGAAAGACAAUUCUGUUACAACUGGGGAUGCCAAUUCUGACAGCUUGACAGUAAGGCUUUCAACACUGAUAAAUUGAGAGCUUCCUAUUGCAGAAUAUUAAUAAGUUAUUAAUCAUCCAGAUGUUAAACAUGAAAAGAGAAUUGGAAUUGAAUAAGAGGAAUACAAAACACUCACAUUUAUUCUCCCAUAAUUUUCUGCCAGGGUUGCUCAAGGCGAAAAUGGCUAACUGGUUAUGAGUGCUCAAAAUGAAUUUUAUUAAUUUGUAUCUCCCUCCUCCCCAUGCCUCACACUGGGUUACAAUAAGUUUUACAUUCUGGGAUACUUCUGCUUGGGGGCCAGUUAUAGCCCCCGAAAACACAAGUACAGACUGGAACUUUCAAAAGUAUAUUUUCGUUAGCAGGUGUAUAAAAUCUAGAUUAACGGCUUCCAGGCCCCAUUUCAUAAAAUGACUGAAUCAGAUUCACCGAAAUUACAUAUUAAAAAUCCUUAUUAUAUUUUCCUAGCCCAGACCUAUUGCAGCGAAACAUCCAAUGUUAGGCUCAGAAUUCUGUGUUUUUAUUAAUUUCCCUGAGAUAACUUGAUGCACAGUUACCUUGGAAUCACCGAUGGUAGUCAUUUUGGAUAAUUGUUACAUAUGCUGAAAUGCUGAAGUAUAUGAUUUUAGCCUGUUUGGGAUAUCAAAAGAGACUGGACCUAAACAUAAACAAAGCUUCUUAAUAUUUUUUAACAGAGUGUCAUGGUGGUGAAAGAUGGGAGAUUAAUAAAUAUAUGCUUAUAAAAUCUUCAUAGUGAAGAAAGCUUGGAUCUUGGUGUUAGCCAUCAGAUAACAAGUAAAAUCUCCUAAAUUUUCUCCAGCCUUCUAAUGUAUUAUUUUCCUAUAUUGUUUUAAGUUACCCUGGCUCCCUGGCCCAUGGCUAAAGAAAGAGGAUACUGAGAGUCAUAAUCAUAAUCUGUAAAGUGUCCACUUAAGAAUAUGUGCCUUAAAAAAUGCUACCUCCAUUCAUGUUUCUACUAAUCCAAAAGUAGAAGUGUGAUCUCAAGGACGCUAAGUGCAGCAGCAUUCCCUGAAAAAUAGAACUUCAUCAGGGAACAUACAGUACUUACUAUAUGUAAUUAAAAUACAUAUAUCUUUCAAAAUCUAGAUCAAAUAUUACCUUACAGGGGUUUUCCUGAAUACCCCAAUCUAGCCCCUUCCCAUGAAAGCAAAAGUUUUUAUCUUUUCCACAGUAGACACUCCAUUAACAUCUUACAUAUGUCUGCAUUAUUCUUCUAUAAUAUAGUUAUUUUUCUCCCCUGCUAGACAGAGAGCAACCUUGCCUGCAGCCAGGCACAAAGUAGGUGUUUCACAAAAGUAUUUUGGAUUGAAUUAAAUCAAAGGGUAAGCAGUAUAAAUGCCAGAAAGUUAUCUUCAUCAAUGUGUCUUAGUUGUAAAAAUGUAAUUGUCAAGGGACAAAUUGUAAACAGCAAUAAUAAAAUUAGGUGACUCUUGCUGAGUCUUGAAGCAUCAAGGAAGAAUCAAAGAUGGUGCUGUCUGUCAAUAAUAGUCACUCUAAUGGAACAAGGACUUAGGUGAAGGGCAAGCACUGCCAGACACAUAUCUAUCUUUUGGGACAUACUUGCUCAAUUAGAUGCCUGUUCUGUAAGUAAAAAGCAAAGAAUUCCCAAACACACAUGCUUAUGGCAAAAACAUUUAGAAUUAACUCUUACCAUUAUCAAAACAAAAUGAAGAUAAAGGAAGCCUUUGAAAAGAGGAGAUAACCAAGGAUACUUUUUAAAAAAUGUGAUCUAAAGAACAACAUUUUAUGGUCAGUGGUUUUGGUAGCCUCUGUAUGUUUAAACUGCAAAAUUGUCUAAACCUGUUUGAAACAGUUAUCUAAGGGGCCCAAUCGCAUGACACUUUAAAUAAAGUAAGAAGGUGAUGCUAUGCAUGUGUGUCAUCGUUACUAAUGUCUUCUUGCCAUGAUUGCUAAUAGGUAUAAGACAGUAUUCAAUGCCAUGCUUCACAAAACAGGUAAGAGAUGCGUUGGUCUCAGAGUUUCUCCCUAAAUUGAAUUUCUGUCAAGAAAGCAACAGCAACAAAUCAAACAAAGCUUCUAUGACAUGCCAGGAUUUCAAAGUGUAACUAGACAGAAUUAUUCUCUCAUGCUGUCAUGAAUACACAUUCAUGGAAGACUUUCUAUUGUCUUUAUUAACUACUAACAGUAUAAUUUCAUCACUCUGCAGUCAUUCAGAUUACAUUAUUAAUACACAUGACAACUCUUUGUAGGCUGACCACAAUUUCUUCAGUUGGCUAGCUGAACUUGAUAAUAGCUCUUACAAACUAAUACAAAGCAUAUUAUAUAUACCACUUGAUGUGACUACACACACAUAUACAUAUAAAGAGACUUCAAAUGUAGGAACUGAUAAUAUUCCAAAAGUAUUUUCUUAAAGUUCUUUUAAUUGUUGUAAAAUAGAAUUGCAUUUUCUUGGAAAAACAAAAUUAUAUAAGAUAUACAUUUUCUAGGCUAGUUCCCAAAGCCUCUUCAGUUCAAAAUAAAUCUUAAUAGAUGAACUGUCUCAUCAUGUAUGUUAGUCAAGUUUUACAGCUUAAUCUCUGCCAUAGUCAGAAUGUGUCCUCUCCAAAAUUCAGGUGUUAAAAUUUAAUGGCCAAUGUGAUAGUAGCAAGAGGUGAGGUGUGUAAGAGGUGAUCAGGUAUGAGGGCUCCUCCCUUGUGAAUGGGAUUAAGGCUCUGAUAAAAGAGACUUCACACAAUACUUGGCCCUCUUGCCCUUCUACCUUCUGCCAUGUGAGGACAUAGCAUUCCUCUCUUCCAGAUAAUGCAGCAACAAGCUGCCAUCUUGAAAGUGGAGACCAGGACCUUCACAAGACAUUGAACCUGACAGCACCUUGAUCUUCAACUUCCCAAGUUCCAAAGAAAGUUCCUUCAACCUCUGAUCACUCAAAUAAUCCUUGUUCAUCUCUGAAGACCAAUUUCAACUUUCAGGCCUGACUGCACCAUCUCCAGCUCUCUGCUUCGGGUUGCUGACCUCUAUGUCCAUACCAGCCAGGGUCCCUUUCCCUUUGACUCCUGGUUGGUAAGGCAAUGAUGGAGUAUUAGGAGACAGAAGAUGAAUGAGGUCAAGGCAUUUAUUUCCAUAGUUCUUCUCUGUGGGGUUGCUAAGGUUGGCUCUCUCAACCACAACUAUAAUUUCACAGGGAGUACCUUAUGACCAGUUAAUAAAGGAAGAAAAAUUGCAAGCUUAGAUUAAAUAAGAAUUCACCGAUAUGCUAGCAACUGCUAGCAGUUGCUUCUUUAUAACCCUACUGAUGCAUGGUCCUGCAAGUCAGUGAGUGAAAGGAAAUCGUUCCAUCAGGCAGAAAUUUAGAGGGGAAAUUUGACUGAGCACUGUGUGAAGGGAGAGAUGGCUUGAGGUAGGAACCUGAACUAAACCAUGAGCAGUAGCUAACAGGUUCGCCAGCUGGUAAGGGAACUGCAAAGAACAUGAUUGGAAAGUUGAUGAUCAGGAGAUCUCAUGGAGGAGUACAUUAACAGUCCUCUCGCAACAGGCCCCAUGUUCAUUAAUCAAUUAAAAAUGUUUGAGUAUGAAUUUGUAAUGAAUCAUGUUUGCUGGGAAUUAACAUAGGUAUCACUUUAACUCAAAAAUAGAAAAUUAAAAGGUAAAAUAUAAAGAUAAAUAUAAAGAUGAUGUGUAUCUUUACGUAUUAUAUAUAAUAUAUAAGGAUAUAAAAAUAAAAUAAAAGUGUUUCAUUUUUCCCACUUCAGUGAAGCAUCUUCCACAUUUCCUGGGUUGCAAACCCCAUACUUUGAAAAUUGCUAUAGGUAAAGUGAUGAUAACACACAUUUUUACAUGUCUCAAGACAUUUCGCUGUUACAUUGCAUUGAUUGUUAUAUAGGUAUUAUUUUAUUUUAGUACUCACCUAUUCAUGCUGGGCAUGGGGUUGACUUUCUUACUGAUUAUUAUUACUGGCACAAUAUCAAGAAGAAGAAAAAAUUAACUGCAUGACAUUUCUGAGGGCCAAAAUAGGGAUAAAGUUCAAAUGACCAGCAUACUUUGCUUUCUUUCCUGAUAAUCACUUUGUCAGUUUUCAUAGAAUAUGGUUUGCUAAGGUACUGUAUCUAUGCGUGUACUCUGGUGUGUGUGGUAAUUGGGAUGGCGGGGAUACAAAAACCAUAAAAGGUAGUUUAGGAUGGUGAGGCACAUAUAGUGGAAUCCUAAAAGUACAAUUUGAUUGUUUAAUUUUAUAUAUUAAUCAGAAUAUAUUGCUUGAGGUAGGGUUAAAAUAUCACUGAUCUCUGUGAUGCUAAAAAAACAAUAAAAUAAGGCUAAUAAAUAUUUGUAAGAUUUGCAUUUCCAAAUGACUAGAUGUAAUUCUGAGAGGAAGCCCACAUAUUUUA